rnacentral:rRNA from 1 species
AUGGGUUCAAGUCCUGGAAACAGCCUCUUACAGAAAUGUAGGGAAAGGCUGCGUACUAUAGACCCAAAGUGGUCGGACCCUUCCCUGGACCCUGCGCAAGCGGGAGAUACAUGCACCAGGUUGCCUAAAAAACACAAAUUACCGGUAAACUUGUGUUUGUUAUAUUUAUUUUCAGUUUCAUCUUCCAGAUCUGUAUAUACUGGCUUGAUGGAAAUCCUUCUUUUGCAUUCCUGUCUUUUAUGCAUAAAUAUUGCAUUAUUGCCAUUUGGCUUCUUCAGCUUUAUGAAUUUGCUUGUUUCGUCUUGUCAAGAUCAGGUUUGUUCUGUUACUUUGUUUAUUGUGUUUGUAGUAUCUUUUUUCUGUUGCUUGCCUUUGCUUUGGCUAUUUGAUCUGAUAGAUCUUGAUAUAGUUUUGUUUUCUUGGUUUAUUUGGUGGUACAUUUUUACUGCUAUGUAUUUUUCGUGUUACUUGGAUUUGCCCUUGGCCCUACGAUGA